rnacentral:rRNA from 1 species
GAUGAACGCUGGCGGCGUGCCUAACACAUGCAAGUCGAGCGGCAGCGCGGGGUGCUUGCACCCUGUCGGCGAGCGGCGGACGGCUGAGUAACGCGUGGGAACGUGCCCCAAAGUGAGGAAUAACUGCCCGAAAGGGUAGCUAAUACCGCAUAUUAUCUUCGGAUCAAAGGAUUUAUCCGCUUUGGGAGCGGCUCGCGUCAGAUUAGGUAGUUGGUGAGGUAAUGGCUCACCAAGCCGACGAUCCGUAGCUGGUCUGAGAGGAUGACCAGCCAGACUGGAACUGAGACACGGUCCAGACUCCUACGGGAGGCAGCAGUGAGGAAUCUUCCACAAUGGGCGAAAGCCUGAUGGAGCAACGCCGCGUGCAGGACGAAGGCCUUCGGGUUGUAAACUGCUUUUAUAAGUGAGGAAUAUGACGGUAACUUAUGAAUAAGGAUCGGCUAACUACGUG